rnacentral:rRNA from 1 species
GGAGAUUAAGCCAUGCAAGUCUAAGUAUAAGUCAUAUACGGCGAAACUGCGAACGGCUCAUUAAAACAGUUAUAAUUUAUUUGAUAAUGCUUCUAUAUGGAUAACCAUUUUGGGAAACUAUGGCUAAUACAUGCUUAAAGACCUUCGGGUUGUAUUUAUUAGUUUUGACCAAUCUUAGAUUGUGAGGAGUCAUAAUAACUGAUCGAAGCGCACUUGUGUGCGCUAAAUCUUUCAAGUAUCUGCCCUAUCAGAUUGUUGGUAGUGUAUUGGACUACCAAGUCGAUCACGGGUAACGGAGAAUUAGGGUUCGAUUCCGGAGAGGGAGCCUGAGAAACGGCUACCACAGCUACGGUAGGCAGCAGGUGCGUAAAUUACCCAAUCCAAAAUCUGGAAGGUAGUUACAGGAAAUUUGUUGCAUGGGGUUCUACCCCAGACACAAACGAACACAUGUAAGUAUUGUGUGUUUAAUUGGAGGGCAAGUUUUGGUGCCAGCAGCCGCGGU